rnacentral:rRNA from 1 species
AUUGAACGCUGGCGGCAGGCCUAACACAUGCAAGUCGAGCGGAUGAAGGGAGCUUGCUCCUGGAUUCAGCGGCGGACGGGUGAGUAAUGCCCAGGAAUCUGCCUGGUAGUGGGGGAUAACGUCCGGAAACGGGCGCUAAUACCGCAUACGUCCUGAGGGAGAAAGUGGGGGAUCUUCGGACCUCACGCUAUCAGAUGAGCCUAGGUCGGAUUAGCUAGUUGGUGGGGUAAAGGCCUACCAAGGCGACGAUCCGUAACUGGUCUGAGAGGAUGAUCAGUCACACUGGAACUGAGACACGGUCCAGACUCCUACGGGAGGCAGCAGUGGGGAAUAUUGGACAAUGGGCGAAAGCCUGAUCCAGCCAUGCCGCGUGUGUGAAGAAGGUCUUCGGAUUGUAAAGCACUUUAAGUUGGGAGGAAGGGCAGUAAGUUAAUACCUUGCUGUUUUGACGUUACCAACAGAAUAAGCACCGGCUAACUUCGU